UACGUAGGGACCAAGCGUUGUUCGGAUUUACUGGGCGUAAAGGGCGCGUAGGCGGCGUGGUAAGUCACUUGUGAAAUCUCUGAGCUUAACUCAGAACGGCCAAGUGAUACUGCUGUGCUAGAGUGCAGAAGGGGCAAUCGGAAUUCUUGGUGUAGCGGUGAAAUGCGUAGAUAUCAAGAGGAACACCUGAGGUGAAGACGGGUUGCUGGGCUGACACUGACGCUGAUGCGCGAAAGCGUGGGGAGCGAUCCGG
rnacentral:rRNA from 1 species